rnacentral:rRNA from 1 species
UACGUAGGGUGCAAGCGUUGUCCGGAAUUAUUGGGCGUAAAGAGCUCGUAGGCGGUUUGUUGCGUCGGCUGUGAAAUCCCGAGGCUCAACCUCGGGUCUGCAGUCGAUACGAGCAAACUAGAGUGUUGCAGGGGAGACUGGAAUUCCUGGUGUAGCGGUGAAAUGCGCAGAUAUCGGGAGGAACACCAGUAGCGAAGGCGGCACUCUGGGCCGGAACUGACGCUGAGGAGCGAAAGCGUGGGGAGCGAACAGG